GAUGAACGCUGGCGGCGUGCCUAAUACAUGCAAGUCGAGCGAACGGAUGAGAAGCUUGCUUCUCUGAUGUUAGCGGCGGACGGGUGAGUAACACGUGGAUAACCUACCUAUAAGACUGGGAUAACUUCGGGAAACCGGAGCUAAUACCGGAUAAUAUUUUGAACCGCAUGGUUCAAAAGUGAAAGACGGUCUUGCUGUCACUUAUAGAUGGAUCCGCGCUGCAUUAGCUAGUUGGUAAGGUAACGGCUUACCAAGGCAACGAUGCAUAGCCGACCUGAGAGGGGGAUCGGCCACACUGGAACUGAGACACGGUCCAGACUCCUACGGGAGGCAGCAGUAGGGAAUCUUCCGCAAUGGGCGAAAGCCUGACGGAGCAACGCCGCGUGAGUGAUGAAGGUCUUCGGAUCGUAAAACUCUGUUAUUAGGGAAGAACAUAUGUGUAAGUAACUGUGCACAUCUUGACGGUACCUAAUCAGAAAGCCACGGCUAACUACGU
rnacentral:rRNA from 1 species